rnacentral:rRNA from 1 species
GUGCAGUGGCGGGCUGCUAUACAUGCAGUCGAGCGGACCGAACGGAAGCUUGCUUCUGUUCGGUUAGCGGCGGACGGGUGAGUAACACGUGGGUAACCUGCCCGUAAGACCGGGAUAACUCCGGGAAACCGGGGCUAAUACCGGAUAACACCGAAGACCGCAUGGUCUUUGGUUGAAAGGUGGCUUUUGCUACCACUUACGGAUGGGCCCGCGGCGCAUUAGCUAGUUGGUGAGGUAACGGCUCACCAAGGCGACGAUGCGUAGCCGGCCUGAGAGGGUGACCGGCCACACUGGGACUGAGACACGGCCCAGACUCCUACGGGAGGCAGCAGUAGGGAAUCUUCCGCAAUGGACGAAAGUCUGACGGAGCGACGCCGCGUGAGCGAAGAAGGUCUUCGGAUCGUAAAGCUCUGUUGUUAGGGAAGAAGAAGUACCGUUCGAAUAGGGCGGUACGGUGACGGUACCUAACGAGAAAGCCCCGGGCWAAYUACGUGCCMSCAAGGCCCGSGKUAAUMCKURGGGGSCGAGCCGUUKYCCGGAAUUWUUKGGCGUAAAAGCGSGCGCMGGCGGUCCCUUWAGUUYUGAUGUGAAAAGCCCCMCGGYYCAACCGUGGAGGGGUCAWUKGAAACUKGGGGACCUUGRGUGCCAGAAGRGGAGAGCSGAAUUUCCCACGKKUAGCGGGUGAAAUGSGUARRGAUKKGGAGGAACCACCAGUGGCGAAGGCCGSCUYUYUGGUCUGUAACUGACGCUGAGGCCGSRAAAGCKUGGGGAGCAAACAGGAUUAGAUACCCUGGUAGUCCACGCCGUAAACGAUGAGUGCUAAGUGUUAGAAGGGGUUUUCCCCUUUAGUGCUGUAGCUAACGCGUUAAGCACUCCGCCCKGGGGAGUACGGCCGCAAGGCUGAAACUCCAARGGAAUUGACGGGGGGCCCGCACAAGCGGUGGARCAUGUGGGUUUAAUUCGAAGCAACGCCGAAARACCYUUACCAGKUCUUGAMAUCCCYUGACAACCCKGGAGAMCAGGGCGUUCCCCUUUGGGGGGGCCGGGGUGCCGGGUGGUGCAUGGUGGUGGUCAGUUCGGUUCUUGGGAUGUUGGGUUAAUUCCCGCAACGAGCGCAACCUUGGCCCUUAGUGGCCACCAUUCAGUUGGCCAUUUUGGGGGGACGGCCGGGGCAAACCCGGAGGAAGGGGGGGAGGACGUCAAUUCUUCAUGCCCUUUAUGCCUUGGGCUACCCACUUGUUCCAAUGGGCGGUACAAAGGGUUGGGAACCCGGGAGGGGGAGGGAUUCCCAAAAAGCCGUUUUCAGUUGGGAUUGCGGGCUGCAAUUGGCUUGCAGGAAGCGGGAAUCGUUGGUAAUCGGGGAUCACCAUGCCGCGGGGAAUACGUUCCCGGCCUUGGUCCACCCCGCCCGUCACACCAGGAGAGCUGGCAACACCGGAGGUCGGGAGGUAACCGGUAAGGGAGCCAGCCCGCGAAGUGGCAGGGG